AGUCUAUCUGACUGUGACAUUUAUCACUCCAUUGAUCAUCAGGAUUGAGCUGGGCUGGCUGGCUGGGUGGGUACCCCCUGUGGGUGUUCCUGAAGCUGUAUGCUUGGUCAAAGAGGAUGACCUCUCCUGAUAGAAGACNGUUCUGGGUUUGU
rnacentral:snRNA from 1 species